AAGAAUCUUAGACUUAAAAGUCCUAGUUAGACUUGUCGAUCUUAUCCCAUGACUUUUAGAACAAAUACCUUGUAAAGGUUUCAAGGCCACAAUCUGCAAGGACUUGAAAACAUAAACAUUGCAUUUCAAUUUAUUAGAAACCAUUUUCGUUCAAACUUUAACAAAUUAAACCAAAAACGUCAGAAAAAGCAGAACCAUUUUCGUUCAAUAAUCCAAGCUUCAUUCAAACGUCCAAGCUUCAUUCCAAUCAGAUCAAUUUGUCCAAAAAUUUCAACACCAGGCCAAGUUCAUUCCAAUUUCAGUUCCAAUCAGAUCAAUUCGUCCAAAAUUUUCAACACCAGGCCAAGUUCAUUCCAAUUUCAAGGAAAUCCAGUAUAAAUUUUAUAGAAGAAGAUUCGUUCAAAUAAUUCUAGGAACAGGUAUGUUAAGGCUAAGCUUUUUCUUCAUUUUAGCAUGAUAUCAUAAUUACAUAAAUUUAAUAACGAGUUAUAAAGAAAAAUUCAUAUUCCGGAAUUUACAUAUAUUUUGUUAGUUUCGCAAAUUACAUGUAUUUCAAGCUACUAGUUGAUUCCAUUGAGUUAAAUUGAAAAAUUCCAAGUUCUUUCAAAUCUAAGGUUAACCUAUUGCAUACAGUAUAAGAAUAAUAAGUAUCCUACAAGAUUAUUUUUUUUUAGAGAAGUUACAUAUUUGAUCAUUCGAUUUAUAUUCAUUGGAAAGUUAGAAUAUUUACUUUAUCACGACUUUGUAUUCAUUUGAGUAUUUUUUUUCCAAUCAAGAGAGCAGAGAAUUUAUAUAUAUACAAUAUUAAAGUAUUUUUAUUACCAUCAAGCUAUAAUCGAUGGGAGGCCCCUAUUAAGCAACUUCUGAUCAGACGGUAAGAUAUACACCGAGCCUACUGUGGCCGAGCGCCUAUGAGAGAGCCCAGUUGGUCGAGAUACAGAGCCUAAUAUGACCGAGCGCCUAUAGGCGAGCCUACUAUGGCAGAGUAGUUAUAUAUAUAUAUAUAUAUAUAUAUAUAUAUAUUUAUAUACCGAGCCUUAUAGGGCCAGACAAUAAUUUUACUUAUUAUAUUGAGACACUAUAUUGAAAGAGUUGAGUCAGUAUCAGCAGAUGAGUUUAUCUUCAUAUUUCUUUGACUCCUAGUGGUUUACGGUUAUUAUAUUAUCAGUUCAGCUUCAACUUUAGUAUAUUGCCUUACAUACUCGGCACAUUAUUUCAUACUGACUUCCCUGGCACUGCAUUUCAUGCAUGCAGUUUUAGAAAGACAGACGGGUAGACCUCCUCAGUAGGUUUUACUCGAGUUUAGCUUUAUUGGUAAGAUCCCCUUCUUUCGGAGUUGCUAGGUCUAGCAACGUGGUGUAUAUCUUGUGUAUAUAUGUAGAUAGAUUAUGGGUAGGUCAGGGCCCUGUUCCAAUCACAGUACAUCUAUCAGUAGAGGCUUAUAUACAUAUCAUGUUAGUUAGUGUAAUAUGUUGGGCUUGUAGGCCUUGUAACGUAUAUUUUAUUGGCUUGUCAUUCAUAGUAGUUAUAACGACCUUGCCGGCCCAGCUUUAUUUUGAUAUUUAGUCAACAUUAGUCGCUAUUCAGUUUUAGUAGUAAUUGUGCCGGCCUUACCGAUCUAGAUUUAUGUUAACACUAGCCAGCGUUAGUCUGCAUUUAUUUUUAUAUUUUGUAUCGCACAUUAUCUUGUAAUGUAGAUCAUACCCAAAGUAUAACAUUACAUAUUCAGAAUCUCUUAGUCGCAGGUGGUACAGAAGGAUAAAUGAGGCAUUAGGCGCUAGUGUCACUUCCGGAACCGGGGCGUGACACAAAGUCAGCCUAUUUUUGCCCGGUAGGACUAAUAAGUAAGUAAAGAUUUUUAAUCUCCAUUCACUCUCCACGUGGCACAAGGCCAAUAAUUGAGAGAAAUGACUCAUUGAACAUGUAUAUGUGUCCAAAGAAUCUUUGACUUAAAAGUCCUAGUAAGACUUGUCAAUCUUAUCCCAUGACUUUUAGAACAAAUACCUUGUAAAGGUUUCAAGGCCACAAUCUGCAAGGACUUGAAAACAUAAACAUUGCAUUUCAAUUCAUUAGAAACCAUUUUCGUUCAAACUUUAACAAAUUAAACCAAAAAUGUGAGAAAAGCAUAACCAUUUUCGUUGAACAAUCCAAGCUUCAUCCAAAUGCCCAAGCUUCAUUCCAAUCAGAUCAAUUCGCCCAAAUAUUGAAAAAACCUAGCCAAGUUAAAUCCAAUUUCAAGGAAAUCUAGUGCAAAAUUUGCAAAUGCAAAUUCGUUCAAAUAAUUUCAGGAACAAGUAUAUUAAGGUUAAGAUUUUCCUUCAUUUUACCAUGAUAUUGUAAUUACAGAAGUUUAAUAACGAGACAUAAAGAAAAAUUCAUAUCUCAAAAUUUACGUAUAUUAGUUUCACAAAUUACGUAUAUUUCAAGCUACUAAUUGAUUUCACUGAGCUAAAUUAAAAAUUUCCAAGUUCUUUCAAAUCUAAGGUUAACCUACUACAUAUAGUAUAAGAUAAUAAGUAUCCUACAAGACUAAUUUUUGUUAGAGAAGUUACAUAUUUGGUCAUUCGGUUUAUAUUCAUUAGUAAGUUACAAUAGUCACUUCAUCAGGACUUCGCAUUCAUUUGAGUAUUUUCUUGUUCCUGUCAAGAGAUCAGAGAAUUUAUAUACAUACAGUAUUAUAGUAUUUUUAUUAACAUCGAGCUAUAAUCGAUGGGCAGACCCUUAUUGGGAAACCUCUGAUCAGAUGGUAAGAUAUAUUCAAGCCUACUGCGGCCGAGCACCUAUGAGCGAGCCUAGUUGGUCGAGAUACAGAGCUUAGUAUGUCAAUAUAUAUAUGUACCGAGCGUUAUAGGGCUAGACAGCUACUUUACUCACUAUAUUGAGAGAGUUGAGUCAGUAUCAACAGAUGAGCAUAUCUUCAGAUUUUUUUUGCCUCCUAGUUGUUUUCAGUUAUUAUAUUAUCAGUUCAGUUUCAGCUUCAGUAUAUUUCCUUACAUACUUGGUAUAUUAUUUCGUACUGACGUCCCUUUCUGGGAGCCCUACAUUUCAUGCGUGCAGGUUCAGAAAAAUAACAGGUAGACCUCCUCAGUAGGUGUUUCCCGAGUUCAGCUUUAUUGGUAAGCUCCCCUUCUUUCAGGGUUGUGGGGUGUAGCAGUGUGAUGUAUAUCUUAUGCAUAUAUGUAUAUAGGUUAUGGGUAGGUCGGGGCCCUGUUCUGAUCACAGUACAUCUAUCAGUAGAGGCUUGUACACAUAGCUUGUCGGUUAGUGCAAUAUGCUGGGUUUGUAGGCCAUAAACGUAUAUUUUGUUGGCUUGUCAAUUGUAGUAAUUAUGAUGGCCUUGUCGGCCCAGCUUUAUGUUGACAUUAGUCAGCGUUAGUCUUCAUUUAGUUUUACAUUUUGCAUCACACAUUAUCUUGUAAUGUGGCCCAUAAUCAAAGUAUGACAUUACAUGUUUAGAGUAUCUUAGUAACAAGUGGUACGCAAGGAUAGAUGAGGCACUAGGUGCCGGUCUCGGGACAUGACAAAAGUGGUAUCAAAGUAGUCAUGUCCUAGGGAAUCUACAAGCCGUGUCUAGUAGGGUCUUGUUUAUAGAUGUGUGGUGCACCAUAUUAUAUAUGCAGGGAACUACAGGGCAUUAUGGAGUUGGUUACCCUUCUUUCAAAUCUAAAUCGUACUGUAGCACUGAGUUAUAGGAAAUUUGAGUUAAACUUACGUGUUGACGUUCGCAUGCACAGAUGAGGGUAACUAGGAAGCCAUAUGAGAGAAGCAACAGUAUGAGGGGACUAGCAGGGUACCCCAGCAGAUGAGGCCCAGUCGGAGUCGUAGGGUGAUACCCCCACCUAGCGAUUACCGACUCCCCCACCACCUGAGGAGAUUCCUAGGGAUACCGCACAUACAGUUCCCCUUCCACUUCCAUCGUAUCAAGACUUGAGGAGUGCGGUAUACUCGUUGGCAUAGUUGCUAGCUACCCAGCAGCAGAAUAGGGCAUCUGCUAGUGCAGGACCUUAUGAUGGAUCUGGGAGUUCAAAGGUUCGAGACUUUAUUGCUUUGAAUCCCAUAGAGUUCACGGGGACAGAUCAGACCCGCACAAUUUCAUAUAUCAGCUUCAUAGGAUCUUUCAGGUUAUGCAUGUCACGAAAAAAGAGGCAGUUGAGUUAGCAGUUUUUCGACUCUGGAUAUAGCCAUCUUUGGUAAGAGGAAUGGGAAAUCCAGGGGACGUGAUGCACCUCUUGCUAUUUGGGAGAAUGAUUAGAUGCCUUCCUUGACCAGUAAUUACCACGAGAGAUCCGACAUACCCGACUCGAUCAUUUUCUAGCCCUCAAACAGGGCAAUAUGAGUAUUCGAGAAUAUAGUCUCUGUUUUUACUUAUUAGCCAGAUAUGCACCAUCCAUAGUUGCUACUACGCGGGAUAGAAUCCACAAGUUUAUAGCAGGGUUGGCCCUAGAGUUGACCGAGGCAUGUGCCACCACUGCAUUACAGGAUACUAUAGAUAUCUCGCAGAUUAAGGCAUUUUCCCAGAAUAUACAGAGGUGUAGGCAUCAGCAGCAGAGUAUGGAGAUGACUGAGUAAGGCAACGUAAGAGGAUUAGAUUUGCCAGGUCUCAGGAGCAACCUCAGGGUAGUUACAGGCCCCAGUAUUUCGAAUGGCCAACUAGACCUCCGCCACCUCAGCUACAAGGUUAUAGGUAUGACCAUUAUACUUACUCAGGACCAGGCGAGAGAUCACAUGCGUCAAGUUUGCAAUGAGAAUGAGAUUCGAGACAGACAGGGAUGUCUUAGCUACGGUGUGCCAUCUGUGGUGGAGAACACUUGGGCCAAUACCAAACUGAUUUCGAUGCUUGUUAUAAAUGUCGACGUCCAGGGCAUAUGAUGCAAGAUUUCCCAAAUACAGAUUUUGGGGUAUAGCGCAACCAGCAAAUUCAGCAACGGGAUUAGCUAUGUCCGUGCAUCCUUCAGGGCACGAGUCUCAGUCUUCAGCUGGUAGAGGGCGAGGCAGAGGUAGUGGGUCUAGUUUAGGUGGUAACCAAAUUCGUAUCUAUGCGCUAGAAAGUCAACAGGACCAAGAGUCCUCAUCAGACGAUGUGGCACAUAUGUUGACAUUUGUUCUCACGAUGUUUAUGCCUUGAUAGACCCAGGAUCUACUUUAUCAUGUAUUACCCCAUUUGUCGCACGAAAAUUUGGUAUAGUUCCUGAAAUACUAAGUGAUCCAUUUGCGGUAUCUAACCAGUCGGAGAAUUGAUUAUCGCUAGAUGUGUUUACCAAGGUUGUACAGUAUCAAUUUGUGGUCGUCAGACCUUAUCCGACCUAGUUAAACUAGAGAUGUUGGAUUUCGAUGCUAUCUUUCUUGGGAAUAUCUUUCUCCCGAACAAGAAAGUGUUAUAUCUUUCUUGGUAGCUUGUUAAACAAAGUCUUGAGUUCCUUAUGGACUUGAUGAAUAGUUAUUCCGACCAUAUUUGAGUAUGUUCGUGAUAUUCAUUAUUGAUGAUACUUCUGGUUUAUUCACGUUCAGAGGAUGAGAAUGUGGGUCACCUGCGAGCUGUACUCCAAACCCUUUGCGAUAAUAAAUUGUAUUCUAAGUUUUCUAAGUGUGAGUUCUGGUUGAAAUCCAUAGCAUUCUUGGGGCAUAUUGUAUCCGACGGAGGUAUAAAGGUAGACACUCAGAAGAUUGAGGUUGUGAAAUCCUGGCCAAGACAUACCACUCAAACAGAGAUUCGUAGCUUUCUAGGCUUAGCAGGAUAUUACCGGAGAUUCAUAGAGGGUUUUUCUUCUCUUUUAGCACCAUUAACAAAGCUGACAAAGAAAGCGACUAAGUUUCAGUGGAAAAAGGCAUGUGACCAGACUUUCCAAGAGCUUAAGAAUGGGUUGACCUCGGCGCCAGUUAUAGCACUUCCAGAAGGUCCAUAUGGUUAUUGCAUGUAUUAUGAUGCCUCGGGUAUCGGGUUAGGAUGUGUCAUUAUGUAACAUUAGGAAGUAAUUGUGUAUGCUUCACUGCAGUUAAAGAAGCAUAAGCGUAAUUAUCUGACCCAUGACCACGAAUUAGUUAUGGUUGUCUGUGCACUUAAGAUAUGGCGUCAUUAUUUGUAUGGUGUUCAUGUUGAUGUGUUCACAUAUCAUAAAUGCCUGCAAUAUAUCUUCAAGCAAAAAGAGUUGAAUUUGCGAUAGAGGUGAUGGCUUGAGUUAUUAAAAGACUACAAUGCUAACAUUCUCUACCAUCCAGGGAAAGCUAAUGUUGUAGCAGAUGCCUUAAAUCGCCGAUCUAUGGGUAGCUUAGCACAUGUAGAGGCUAAAAAAAGACAAUUAACUAGAGAGAUUCAUCAAUUGGCUUGUUUGGGGGUUCGGCUAGUUGAAUUUGGUAAUGGAGGAGUUGUACUCCAAAAUACUGCAAAAUCAUCUCUCAUAGAUCAAGUAAAAGAGAGGCGGUAGGAUGACCUAGAGUUAGUCAAAUUGAGAGAGUGUGUUUCCCAAUAGAAGAAGCUGUUGUUAGAACUCAAAGGAGAUAGGGUUCUCAAAUAUAAGGAUCGUUAGUGUGUUCCGGGUGUAGCAGGGCUACGACACAGGAUUAUGUUAGAGGCACAUUAUUCAUGGUAUUCCAUUCACCCUGGGUCGACAAAGAUGUAUCAUGACAUUAAGGAUAUGUAUUGGUAGAACGAUAUGAAGAAGAACAUUGUUUAGUAUGUCGCUCAAUGCCCUAGUUGCCAGCAGGUGAAAAUCGAGCACCAGAAGCCCGGAGGUCUAAUGCAAACUAUAGAGAUCCCUACAUGGAGAUGUGAGGUGAUAAACAUGGACUUUAUCACGGGUUUACCUCAUUCUCAGUGUAAGUUCAAUUCCAUAUGGGUGAUAGUCUAUAGGCUCCCGAAAUCAGCUUAUUUCCUACCGGUCAAAUCUACAUAUACAUCAAAAGAUUAUGCAAAGUUAUAUAUUAAAAAAAUAGUGCGACUACACAGAGUACCCAUAUCUAUUAUAUCUGACUGUAGGGACCAUUUUACAGCACAUUUUUGGAGGUUAUUUCAGAAAGGUCUAGGAACUCAGGUGAAUCUCAGCAUAGUUUUUCAUCCACAAACAGAUGGACAAGUCGAGCGCACGAUUCAUACGCUCGAGGAUAUGUUGUGAGCGUGUGUGCUGGAUUUUAAAAGAAGUUGGGAUGAACAUAUACCUCUUAUCGAUUUCUUAUAUAAUAACAGUUACCACUCCAAUAUCCAGAUGGCUCCAUACAAGUCUUUGUAUGGGCGUAGAUGCAGAUCUUCCAUUAGGUGGUUUGAUGUUGGAGAAUCUAGGAUAUAUAGGCCUAUAUAUAUAUAUAUACUGGUUCAGCAGGACAUAGAAAAAGUAAAGCUUAUCCGGGAGCGGUUGUUGAUAACUCAUAUUCAUCAUAAGUUAUAUUCUAACAUGUGGCGAUUAGAUAUAGAGUUCGGGGUUAAUGACUGGGUAUUUUUAAAGGUGUCACCUAUGAAAUAUGUGAUGAUAAUUGGCAAGAAACGCAAGCUUAGCUCACGAUAUGUUGGGCUUAAUAAGAUCAUUUGGAGAGUGGUCCAAGUAGCUUAUGAGUUAGAAUUUCCCUCGAAAUUGAAGUCGUUUCAUUCGGUUUUUUACGUAUCUAUGUUAAAAAAGUGCAUUGGCAAUCCUACCCAAGUGAUUCCCACAGAUGAUGUACAGAUUACAGAGGACUUUUCAUACGAGGAAAUUCUGGUUGUCAUCCUAGACUAACAAAUCUGCAAUCUAGGAAAUAUGGAGAUAGCAUCCGCGAUGGUUUUAUGGAGAAGUAAGAAGGUGGAAGAGAUGAUGUAGGAACUGGAGGAAGAAAUGAAGUCUAAAUACCCUCACUUAUUUCAAACUGAAUAUAUGACUCGAGGGUAUAAACUCUCAGGACGGCACGUCCUUAGGAAGGCUCUCAUUUUUAACUUUCAGAAUUUAUAGUGGACAACUGUGUGGAGUCAAGUGUUGUUAUUUAUAGACAGUGGCUAUGUGUGGCAUGUAUAGUAAGUUUUUAGGUUGAGUGCAGGUUGGUUUUAAUCUAAUAUACGAAAGAGGCUCCGGCAAAAAAAUUUCGUUCAUAAUUAUGGUCCUGUGUGUCGUUGAAUUACUAAGCUUCUAUGGAAAGAGUUGGUAGUGGUGUUAUUACUGAGGCGACCCUUAAAUAGAUCACGUUGAGUUGAACAUUCAAGGAGGAAUUUUUCUAAGGGGGAGGAUGUUACAACUCGAAUUUUCAUACGUUAAAAUUUUAUUUUUAGUUAACCGACAUAGACUCAGGAAUGAGAUUAUCUUGACGUUAACGUACUUAUGUUAUUUAUAGCAAGCGAUAAAUAAGUGUUAUGAAGGAUAAAUGGGUACAUGGAUCAAAGAAAACGAGUUUCGUUGAAGGUGGCCAAUUUAAAAUAAAAUACGGGUCGAACGAUAAUACCUGAUAAUUAUGAACUAGUACCAUGCAAGGUAUCAUAUGACCACGGUAGUAUAAUAUAUAAAGUAUACUAAAAAUAAAUAAAAUCUUAAGUAAUUUUGAAUAAUUUUUAAAUUAUACAAGUAAUUAGUUAAUUAUCGGGUAAUAAGAUAUUAUUCAAUUAACUAAUAAGUAAUUAAAGAUUUUUAAUCUCCAUUCACUCUCCACGUGGCACAAGGCCAAUUAUUAAGAGAAAUGACUCAUUGAACAUGUAUAUGUGUCCAAAGAAUCUUAGACUUAAAAGUCCUAGUUAGACUUGUCAAUCUUAUCCCAUGACUUUUAGAACAAAUACCUUGUAAAGGUUUCAAGGCCACAAUCUGCAAGGACUUGAAAACAUAAACAUUGCAUUUCAAUUCAUUAGAAACCAUUUUCGUUCAAACUUUAACAAAUUAAACCAAAAACGUCAGAAAAAGCAGAACCAUUUUCGUUCAAUAAUCCAAGCUUCAUUCAAACGUCCAAGCUUCAUUCCAAUCAGAUCAAUUUGUCCAAAAAUUUCAACACCAGGCCAAGUUCAUUCCAAUUUCAAGGACAUCCAGUAUAAAUUUUACAGAAGAAGAUUCGUUCAAAUAUUUCUAGGAACAGGUAUGUUAAGGCUAAGCUUUUCCUUCAUAUUAGCAUGAUAUCAUAAUUACAUAAGUUUAAUAACGAGUCAUAAAAAAAAAUUUAUAUUUCGGAAUUUGCGUAUAUUUUGCUAGUUUCGCAAAUUACAUGUAUUUCAAGCUACUAGUUGAUUCCAUUGAGUUAAAUUUAAAAAUUCCAAGUUCUUUCAAAUCUAAGGUUAACCUAUUGCAUACAGUAUAAGAAUAAUAAGUAUCCUGCAAGACUAUUUUUUUCUAGAGAAGUUACAUAUUUGGUCAUUCGGUUUAUAUUCAUUGGAAAGUUAGAAUAUUCACUUUAUCACGACUUUGUAUUCAUUUGAGUAUUUUUUUUCCAAUCAAGAGAGCAGAGAAUUUAUAUAUAUACAAUAUUAAAGUAUUUUUAUUACCAUCAAGCUAUAAUCGAUGGGAGGCCCCUAUUAAGCAACUUCUGAUCAGACGGUAAGAUAUACACCGAGCCUACUGUGGCCGAGCGCCUAUGAGCAGGCCCCUAUUAGGCAACUUCUGAUCAGACAGUAAGAUAUAUACCGAGCCUACUGUGGCCGAGCGCCUAUGAGAGAGCCCAGUUGGUCGAGAUACAGAGUCUAAUAUGACCGAGCGCCUAUGGGCGAGCCUACUAUGGCAGAGUAGUUAUAUAUAUAUGUGUGUGUGUGUGUGUGUGUGUGUGUGCGCGCGCGCGCGUGUGUGCCGAGCCUUAUAGGGUCGGAUAACUAUUUUACUCACUAUAUUGAAAGAGUUGAGUCAGUAUCAGCAGAUGAGCUUAUCUUCAUAUUUCUUUGACUCCUAGUGGUUUUCGGUUAUUAUAUUAUCAGUUCAGCUUCAACUUUAGUAUAUUGCCUUACAUACUCGGCACAUUAUUUCAUACUGACUUCCCUUGCACUGCAUUUCAUGCAUGCAGUUUCAGAAAGACAGAAAGGUAGACCUCCUCAGUAGGUUUUACCCGAGUUUAGCUUUAUUGGUAAGAUCCCCUUCUUUCGGAGUUGCCAGGUCUAGAAACGUGGUGUAUAUCUUGUGUAUAUAUGUAAAUAGGUUAUGGGUAGGUCAGGGCCCUGUUCCAAUCACAGUACAUCUAUCAGUAGAGGCUUAUAUACAUAUCAUGUUAGUUAGUGCAGUAUGUUGGGCUUGUAGGCCCUAUAUGUAUUGUGUUGGCUUGUCAAUUGUAGUAAUUGUGCCGGCCUUACCGAUCUAGAUUUAUGUUAACACUAGCCAGCGUUAGUCUGCAUUUAUUUUUAUAUUUUGUAUCGCACAUUAUCUUGUAAUGUAGAUCAUACCCAAAGUAUAACAUUACAUAUUCAGAAUCUCUUAGUCGCAGGUGGUACAGAAGGAUAAAUGAGGCAUUAGGCGCUAGUGUCACUUCCGGAACCGGGGCGUGACACAAAGUCAGCCUAUUUUUGCCCGGUAGGACUAAUAAGUAAGUAAAGAUUUUUAAUCUUUAGUAAUUAUGCCGUCCUUACCGAUCUAGCUUUAUGUUAAUACUAGCCAGCGUUAGUCUGCAUUUAUUUUUAUAUUUCUUAUCGCACAUUAUCUUGUAAUGUAGACCAUACCCAAAGUAUAACAUUACAUGUUCAGAGUCUCUUAGUCGCAGGUGGUACAGAAGGAUAGAUGAGGCACUAGGCGCUGGUGUCACUUCCGGAACCGGGGCGUGACACAAAGUCAGCCUAUUUUUGCCCGGUUGAACUACAUAUUCCUCAAAGGAUUAUGCAAGACUUUAUAUUAAGGAAAUAGUACGACUUCAUGGUGUCCCUAUAUCUAUUAUCUCGGAUAGAUGAGCUCAAUUUACAGCUAACUUCUGGAGGUCCUUCCAAAAAGAAAUGGGUCAAGUAAGUCUUAGUACAUCAUUUCAUCCCCUGACAGAUGGAUAAGCUGAACGUACUAUAUUAGCACUGGAGGAUAUAUUACGAGCUUGUGUAAUAAACUUCAAAGGUAGAUGGGAUGAUCAUCUGCCGCUUAUUGAGUUUGCGCAUAAUAAUAGAUACCAUUCUAGCAUUCUGAUGACUCUAUACGAAGCUCUUUACGGACGGAAGUGUAGAUCGACUAUAGGGUGGUUCGAUGUUAGAGAAAAGCUAAAUUACAUGGGCCAGACCUGGUUCAGCUAGCCAUAGAAAAAGUAUAGCUUAUUCAGGAUCGAUUAUUGACAGCUCAGAGUCGUCAGAAGUCAUAUUCUGACGUACGGUGAUGAGAGUAAGAGUUCGGGGUUCAUGAUUAGGUUUUCUUAAUGGUGUCACCUAUGAAGGGUGUGAUGAGGUCUGGCAAGAAAGACAAACUUAGCCCACGGUAUAUUGGGCCUCAUAGGAUCAUUCGGAGAGUGAACCAAGUAGCUUAUGAGUUAGAAUUACCCUCGGAAUUAGAGUCUAUCCAUCCAGUUUUCACAUAUCUAUGUUACGAAAGUGCAUUGGCAAUCCUACUCGUGUGGUGCCCAUGAAUGAUAUGCAGAUUAUAGAAGAUUUAUCAUACAAGGAAAUACCGGUCGCCAUCCUAGACUGAAAAAUCCAUAAGCUGCGGAAUAAGGAGGUAGCCUCCAUGAAAGUACUUUGGAGAAACAAUAAUGUGGAAGAAAUGACUUGGGAAGCUGAUGAAAACAUGAAUUCUAGAUAUCCCUGCUUAUUUUCUCCUCCAAAAAAGGUUCCGACAGAAACAUCAUAAUCAUAAGGCACGUGUACAAAUUCUUUUAUUGGUUAUUAUCAUCGGUCUUGUGAGGCCAUUAUCAUUAGUGAUAAUUGUGGUCCGUUGCGGCAUUGGAUUACUAUGCUUCGACAGGGAGAGUCUGUAGUAGUGUUGUUGUAAAGGCGACCCUUAAAGUCAUAUAGGUUUCGGGGAGUUGAACAUUUGAUGACAAAUAUUUCUAAGGGGGAAAAGAUGUUACAUCUCCCAUUUUCGUAUGUUAAAAGUUUUGCCUUCAGUUAAUUCAUGUAGACAUGGGGUUGAGAUCAUCUUGAUGUUAAAGCAUGUAUGUUAUUAAGAGCAAGUAAUAAAUAAGUGUUAUGAAGGAUAAGGGGUACACGAAUAAAAGAAAACGAGUUUCGUUGAAUGUGGCCAAUUUGAAAUAAAAUACAGGUCAAACGAUAAUACCCGAUGAUUAUGAAGUAGUACAAUGAAGGUACCAUACCAUGGUAGUAUAAUAUAUAGAGUAUAUAUGCAGUAUAUUAAAAAUAGAUAGAAUGCUAAGUAAUUUUGGAUAAUUCUUAAAUUAUAAGAGUAAUUAAUUAAUUAUCGGGUAAUAAAAUAUUAUCGGAUUAAUUAAUAAGUGAAUAAAGAUUAAUAAUCUUUACCCACCCUCCCACGUGGCAUAAAGCUACAAUUGAAAAAGAUGACUCUUGGUUAUUUUUGCCAGAUGGCUACUAUGUAAUAUAACCAAAUCAUGACUUACGUUAAGUCUUAAUAAGACUUGUAAAUCUUAUCCAUGAGAUUGGUAUGAAUUCCUUGUAAAAGCUCCAAACAACUAUUUGUCUUUGGCUUAAAACCCAAAGACGGUGAAGCAGAAGCAUUUUGAAGCUUCAUCGGAAGCAAUUUUAUUCAAGUUUCUCAGAAUAAUAAUACACAAAGAAUUUCGUUCAUAUCUCACAGAAGCAGAAUCUUCUGCGUCCAUCCCUUCUUUCUUUUCACACAAUCUAAUUUAUACUAAAGAAAUGAGCAAAUGCACAGUUUUCAUUAAUUACUCUAUUCAUAGAGACAUUACGGAUAUCUAUAUUCUCGAUUUCCCCCAAGGGAAUUAUCAUAUUAUUAUUUUCUGUUCAUGUGUCUCAAAAUAAUACGCAGUUGAAAAAGUUUAUCCGGAAGGAAUAUUGAGAUUUUUACAUAUUUUUCAUACAUUUCACCCAUUUAUACAUGUGCAUUGACUCACGACCAAAUAGCAUUAUAUACGCGUAUAUAUGUAAAUAUAUGUAUAUGGGAUAUGGGAAAUGCUUACGGUAUUAUAUACGCACCACCACCUAAUCAGCUGGUAUAUAUUGAUGAUGUUACCCACAGUGGCCGAGAUGAUAUGAUGGGAUGCCCUCAGUGGCUUGAUGAUGUAAUGUACACUCAUACCUAUGCAUGGCACAAUAUUUAUAUGCACGUGCAUGACAUUAUAAGCGUUUCAAAAUUUACAAAGUUAUUCAAAUUUUAAGAUGUGUUUCCUUAUUCCAUGUUUCAUCUAUAUCUUUUACGUGCUAAUUUUCAUGCCUUACAUACUCAGUACAUUUUUUUCGUACUGACGCCCUAUUUCACGGGGCUUGCAUUUCAUGCUCGCAGGUGCAGGUAUGCAAACUGACGGUCCCCCUUCUUAGGAUCCUUGUUCCGCGAGAGUUGGCGUGCUCCACUUGAUCCGGUGCUGCUUUGAUUUUGUUAUGAUAUGUUUGUGUGUAUGUGUGUGUGUAUAUAUAUAUAUAUGAUGUGGCUCAAUCUCGUCUUUCUACAGAUAUGUUUCUAUUAGAGGUCUGUAGACAGUAUGUCUUAUUGGAUUAUAUGUUGCGUUAUCAGCUUUCAGUUUUGGAUGUACAAUUGUCUAUAAUAGCCUUGUCGGCUCGCCCUCUGUAUUCUGUAUGUCUAUGUACAUAUGCCUUGAUGGAAAUUUCUGUUCAUGUAUGUUAUUUUCAUAAUGCAGGAGACAUUAUUC
rnacentral:lncRNA from 1 species